CUAUUCCUUUAGAUUGAUAUUAACUAAACCGGUUUAAGACCGUCGUGUAAACGUAGUUAUUGAUGUUAAUAGUGCGUUGAUAAUAAUUGAUGAUAAUAGAGGGUGGUUAAAACAUAUGGAUAGAUCAGAAAUGGCGGAAACUUGAUAAAAUGGAUUUCAAAAUGUGUGCAUAUAUUGUUGGAAAUAAAUGUAUUGUUUGAUUUCUGGGGUUUGAGCGUAUUUUCAAUGUAAUGUAUCGUUAGAAAUAUUCCUAAACGGAGACAUAAUGUUAUCAAAUUUCUCUAAUUAAUUCAGUCUCGAAUCAUUCAGUCAUAGUACAAUGGGUUAACGAUGAAGCUCUUCAAGUUGAUUGUGCACCAAAAGAAUUUCAGUGGGGAGGACCUCAUAAUUAAUCCGAAAGAUUAUCCAGGCAUCAAGAAAGGAGAUGUUGUUGAGAUUUAUCAUUUGGAAGAUGAAUUCAGUCGACUGCUUCUUCAAGUUACAGCAUUUAAAGAAGAUCUCCAAGGCCGAGAAACAAUUAGUGUGGAGAAUAAUAUAGCUACAAUGUUUCAAUUACGAACAUUCGCAGAUGUAUAUAUGAAUAUUGUAAAUCCUGCUGAUGUGUCACUGGAUUCAGUGGAACUCACAUUCAAAGAUCAAUACAUGGGCCGUAGUGAAAUGUGGAGAUUAAAAAACAGUUUGGUCAACACAUGUGUUUACCUCAAUAAAAAAAUCGAAUUUUGUGGUGGUAGCAUAAGAUGUCAAGUUUAUGAAAUGUGGUCACAAGGAGAUCGUGUUGCUUGUGGAGUAAUAACAGAUGAUACAAAGGUCGUAUUUCGCUCAUCGACAAGUAUGGUCUAUUUAUUUAUCCAAAUGAGUUCUGAGAUGUGGGAUUUCGAUAUCCAUGGUGACCUUUACUUUGAAAAAGCUGUUAAUGGUUUCCUGGCAGAUCUUUUUCAAAAAUGGAAGAAAAAUGGGAGCAACCAUGAAGUCACCAUCGUUUUGUUUUCAAGAACAUUUUACAAAGCUAAUAGUUUAGAAGAAUUUCCAAAUCACAUGCGCGAAUGUUUGCAACACGAUUAUAGGGGUAGAUUUUAUGAAGACUUCUAUAGGGUUGCUGUACAGAAUGAAAGAUAUGAAGAUUGGAGCAACGUCUUGGUUCAACUGCGCAAACUAUUUACUGACUAUCAAAAGAUUGUGUUAGAGUAUCAUCAAAAACCAAGUAUUCCGAUGCCAAAGGCCACAAACUCAACUGCUGCACAAGGAAACUUUCUUGAAGUUCUUAAUAUGUCUCUAAAUGUAUUCGAAAAACACUACUUGGAUCGUAGUUUUGAUAGAACUGGACAACUCUCAGUUGUCAUAACACCUGGUGUAGGAGUGUUCGAGGUUGACAGAGAAUUGACAAACGUUACUAAACAAAGAAUUAUCGAUAAUGGCGUUGGUAGCGAUUUAGUAUGCGUCGGCGAACAGCCAUUGCAUGCAGUUCCUUUAUUAAAGUUCCACAAUAAGGACACUUCCAUUAACGCAGCAGAUGACUACAGUAUGCCCCAUUGGAUUAAUCUAAGUUUUUAUUCAACAAACAAGAAGAUUCCAUACUCGACGUUUAUCCCGCGAAUAAAAUUACCACAAAGAGUGUCAAAACAGCAAACCGAAAACGGUAAACUCUCCUUCAAACCAAAACUUCUACAAGAAGAUACCAGAGAGUGUUUGCACAAUACAUUAUUUGAUUACGAUGCCUAUGAUGCUCAAGUCUUUCAACUACCAUUGGUCCAUACGGCUAGUUUGCAAAGGGUCUCGACGAGAACAAAGAAGACUAGUGUAGCGUGUAUGGAAACGCAUAAUAAUGCCCAAGCAUUGAAAUUACUAAAACGUAAAAUGUCCGAUCCGGAUAUUCAUCAUCCUCCGCCGGAAACGCAUUCUCCACCGACAGUCGGGGCACGAAGUGCAGCUAUUACCAUUCCACAUAGAACUGACGAUUCCAUUAGUAACGUAUCUAAUGUAAAUUUGAAUGACAAGUCCCGGACAUCUUUGAAGAGUGAUCACGUAAACACAGAAAUAUCACCACCGUUCAGGCCAGUCGUAGGCAGUGCUGGUAGUCCAACAAAUACAACUGCUCAACCGACAAGUGCUCUUCGACCUGGACGAGCGUUGAUUAAUCCUUUUGAUCCAUCCCACGUGACAAUAAAACUGACCAGUAACAGACGUCGAUGGACGCAUAUAUUCCCAAAAGGACCCACUGGAGUACUAAUACAACAACAUCACUAUCAAGCAGUACCAACUCAAUCAAGCUCAGACCAACAGAGUGAUGCCACUUCGAUAUUAAGCAGUUCGCCAGUCGAACAGAUAGCAUCAUCAGGUCCUUUAAAUAAUUUUCAAAUGUCAAGAUCUGCCUCCCAAGUCGGAUUUCAAGAUCAUACAAAAGGAAAGUCGCAACGACCGAGUCUCGCAUUCAGCAGCGACAAGAAUUGCAAUCAAGGCGCUUUAGCAGCACCAAACAAGAGUCUGACACUCUUGUGGGGCGCUACUGGUGAACAGGAAUGGACGCCAGCCUUGACGACAGCGAUCAUAGGGGUGGACUGGAAGUCGCUUACUAUACCGGCCUGCCUGCCGAUCACAACCGAUUACUUUCCGGAUAAGAGGAGCCUGCAAAACGAUUAUGUCGUUUCCGAUUAUAAUUUACUUCCGGAUGACGUGAAUGCAGACUUCGCGCAACAACGUGCGAUAUAUAAAAAACCUUUGACAACCGCUGAAGUCUUUAAGGAACUUGUAUCGCAGCGAUUAGCACAGGGCUUUCAGUUAAUUAUCUUACCAGCGAACAACAAGAAUCAACCAAUAACACCAGGCAGUAACCAUGUACCGCCUAUAAGUUCAUUGAUGCGUGGUAGACAAGCAGAAUCGGAGCCAAAGGAAGAAUAUUUAUUGAGUAUAGGAAGAAUAUUUCACAAGAUUUCUUUAUGUGGAAAUUCAAUAACUGUCACGAGAUACAGGCCAAGGCAUCCAUAUCCACCUUUCAAUAUACAUUAUCGGUAUCGAUUUCACGCACCUCAUCACGAUACCUAUGAAGUCUCCUGGGUCUCCUUUACCACGGAGAAACUUGAGAAUUACAACUGGAAUUAUUUGGACCAUUAUAUCUGCACCAGAGGAGACACUGAUUUUCCUCUAGUCGAGGCUCUCAAAUAUUGGAGAUUUCGAGUGUUUCUAUUACCAUCGCAAAAUCAGGCAACUCGCAGAAUUCUCGAGGGUUCCUCCAAGUGCGAUAUUUACACGCGACCUAGUGCCACUGAACAGGCAUCGCUUAUGGAUAGUUUUCUUCGUUUCAUCGAGGGUUGGUUAAACAAGAUACGUCGAAUAAAUACUAACAAGAAUUGGAGCCCGACAGCUCUAGGUGGAGUAGCCCCAAGAGACCCUGCCUCCCAUCUGACCAGGCGCAGGCACAGCACGAGCCUGAUAUUCCUCACUAACCAGACGAGUCUAGUCGGCAGCUCCCCCUUCAGGGAGCGACUCGGGAGCAACCGCCUACCUGAGAAACCACGACCCAGAUCUGGAUCAAAGGUCAUGGAUAGAGGAAGAGUAUCACCAGCUAGUGAAGCUGUACUUCCUCUUUCACCAGAACAGCAACAGCAAGAACACUUGGAAGCUAACGAAGAAAGUGCCAAUACAGAGGUCAGCAAGAUAAAGAGCAAUGCAUCAAGCUCUGAGAUCUUAGAAGGUAUGAAGCAUCCGCAAACUGGUGUUGGAUUUUUGAAACAGUGUCCUUCGCUACCUAGUCAAACUUUUGUCAGUGCUGAUGCUGUCCAGUGGCUCAACAAUCAUAUAGAGGGUGGUGUCACAGUGGAGAACGCCAUCAACAUUAUGAAAAAUAUGAUACAAGAAAGAUUAAUAUGUCAUGCAUCUGGGGAUUUUUCAAAGCCAUUCAUACUUGGUUUUUAUCUAUAUCACAUAGUACAGGAUAAGGAUAACCAAAAGACUGGUGAUUACACACCCCCUCUAGGAGAUCUUCAGAGUUUUGAAAAUGAAUGGGUAGAAGUUGAAAUGAGAGCACCUAAGGGUUGGUGCGAACCAUCAGCACCAGUGACUAGUUCAACAAUUUCAUCGCCAAUAUCAAUACCCACAACUUGCGAGACAAUUGAUGAGUCGAACGUACCGCCAUUUCUUAGGGAUGAUCUAGAUCAGGCGUAUUUUGAUGAAAAGGACUGGAAAGUACCGGCUUAUAAGCACAAACACCUUGAUAUUGAUAUCAGUAGCAACAACGAUAGAGUAGAGUGGGGUCAUUUGAGAUAUCAAUCGACAUUCAAAGCAGAUCAUUCUUAUGAAUUAGUUGUACAAUGGGUCGCCGCAUCUGGAAGUAUCGUUGCAGAUCUCAUAUUUCUAUGGCAACGAAAAGCUCAAGUGUGCGGUAUACAGAUGGUACCGAUUCCCAGUGAUUUAUUAGCUUUACCAUUUACGUUAAAGAGUGAUCCUUUGAGAGGUCCAAUUUUCAUACCACUGGAUACAGAAUGUUUGAUGACGAAUAAGCGUUAUCUUUUUGAAGGCAAACUCUAUUUACAGAAUUUCAUAAGGACACGUACGCUCAGAGACUGUUUUUAUUCCAAGAAGCUAUUCUUCAACGGUUUGGGUUUCUGCCAUGUUUAGCUGAAUGCAAUGAGAAUGAUCAUCAGUACGUUCAUAUAACGGGAAACGCAUUUGUUCUUGUACCUUCUACUACGUGCGUCAAACCAAAACCUCGUGCUGGAGCGAAUGUGGUAAGAAGAUCAACUGGACAGAAGAGAUAUCCUGUCCAUCCUGAUCAGCUAAGUCCUCAUGAAGCAUAUAUCACAAGACAUGUCAGUGGCAAGAAUAAGGAUAAUUAUAGCAUGGAUCGAAGGAUGGGUUUCCUGUGGUCCUGGAAUCACAUGGUCAGUCGUAAAUGGCGAAACUCAUCUAUGUCUGUUGGUGACGAACAAUUUCAGAAAAAGAUCAUUCAGGAUUUUCGACACUUUUGUUCGAAUGGCGAUAAUAGGCUUAAACAAUUUUGGGAAUCUUGUUGGGACUUGAAAGAAAAAUCAUGCACAAAAGCAGAAUAAUAGAUUGGUGGUUUAUUGGUCAAAUUGCUAAUCAGUAUGAGAUUUUUGUUAUAGUUGGUGCUUUAAAGCUCUACUGUGCAUAAUGACUGACCUUUUGUUGAUAUUUACAAUCCUUUCAUUUUAUAAAAUGUAGUGAUGAUAUUUUUACUCGUCGAAUGCAAACCGCCUGGCUUUAAUAAAGAAUCAAAUUAUUUUGUGGAUGCGCAAAAAUUUAAUCUGCCGAAGCCACAAUAUGUUAGGAUGAAAUUUGGCGUUAAUUUUGUUGUACAUGUCGUUUAUAUUGAUAACAAUAUUUUUGUUACUGUUAUGCAUAUUUAUAUGGAUGUGAAGUUGUGAAUAAAUCGUUCUAAAACUUUUAA